rnacentral:lncRNA from 1 species
AAAGAUGACGACUUAAAAGUAAGUCGUCCGUUUGACCAAAGACUUACCCGUAAGUCUUCUACAACCAGACUACUUACGGGUAAGUCUUCUACACGAACAGAUCUGGAAAAAUUUUCAAUUUCAUACCUUAAACUAGUGAGAUGACUUCCUUAGCACACAGAGUCUUCUCCAACCACCCAUAAUCUCAAACGAAAGUAAUCCACCGAGAAUAGUAUGCUUGAAUGGCUCUAUCAACCAUAAAAAAUUUUGAAUCAAAAGCUUGAGUUUUUUGGAUGAAUAUGGAGGCAAAGUGAAAGAGAUGUUGUUUUUAGUUCAUAACAAGUGAGAAAGAGAGAAUGUAAAUCAAUUUUAGGUGCAUUAAGAGCUUCAAACUGGUUGUUCAUGGUGGUUGGGAUAUUGAUGACAAUGGCAAUCUUGUAAUUACUUGAAGAUGAUGAGGGUG